UGGGGAAUUUUGCACAAUGGGGGAAACCCUGAUGCAGCGACGCCGCGUGAUUUAGAAGGCCUUCGGGUUGUAAAAAUCUUUUCUAUGGGAAGAAAAUGACAGUACCAUAGGAAUAAGGACCGGCUAAUUACGUGCCAGCAGCCGCGGUAAUACGUAAGGUCCGAGCGUUGUCCGGAAUCAUUGGGCGUAAAGGGUACGUAGGCGGGUAAGCAAGUUAGAAGUGAAAUCCUAUAGCUCAACUAUAGUAAGCUUUUAAAACUGCUCAUCUUGAGGUAUGAAAGGGAAAGUGGAAUUCCUAGUGUAGCAGUGAAAUGCGAAGAUAAUAGGAGGAAUACCGGUGGCGAAGGCGACUUUCUGGCCAUAUCCUGACGCUGAGGUACGAAAGCGUGGGUAGCAAACAGG
rnacentral:rRNA from 1 species